GACGAACGCUGGCGGCGUGCUUAACACAUGCAAGUCGUGCGGUAAGGCCCUUUCGGGGGUACACGAGCGGCGAACGGGUGAGUAACACGUGCGCAACCUUCCCUUCACUUUGGGAUAACUGCCGGAAACGGUGGCUAAUACCGGAUAUGACUUCCUCACGCAUGUGGGGUGGUGGAAAGCCUUCGGGUGGUGGGGGAUGGGCUCGCGGUCUAUCAGCUUGUUGGUGGGGUGAUGGCCUACCAAGGCUUCGACGGGUAGCCGGCCUGGGAGGGUGACCGGCCACACUGGGACUGAGAGACGGCCCAGACUCCUACGGGAGGCAGCAGUGGGGAAUAUUGGACAAUGGGCGCAAGCCUGAUACAGCAACGCCGCGUGAGGGAUGACGGCCUUCGGGUUGUAAACCUCUUUCGCCUGCGACGAAGCGAGAGUGACGGUAGCAGGUAAAGAAGCACCGGCCAACUACGUG
rnacentral:rRNA from 1 species